AUCAUCAAUUGGCAUCAAUUAAUGAAGAAAACUCCGGUGGUAAAAGAUGGGCAUGCGUCCUAUUAGUUAGUUGGUAAGGUAACGGCUUACCAAGACUUCGAUAGGUAGGGGUCCUGAGAGGGAGAUCCCCCACACUGGUACUGAGACACGGACCAGACUCCUACGGGAGGCAGCAGUGAGGAAUAUUGGACAAUGGAGGCAACUCUGAUCCAGCCAUGCCGCGUGCAGGAAGACGGCCCUACGGGUUGUAAACUGCUUUUAUACAGGAAGAACUAUAUCUACGUGUAGAUAUUUGACGGUACUGUACGAAUAAGGAUCGG
rnacentral:rRNA from 1 species